UACAGAGGGUGCAAGCGUUGUUCGGAAUUAUUGGGCGUAAAGGGCGCGCAGGCGGUCGUUCAAGUCGCGUGUGAAAGCCCCCGGCUCAACUGGGGAGGGUCACGCGAUACUGAUCGACUCGAAGGCAGGAGAGGGUAGUGGAAUUCCCGGUGUAGUGGUGAAAUGCGUAGAUAUCGGGAGGAACACCAGUGGCGAAGGCGACUACCUGGCCUGUUCUUGACGCUGAGGCGCGAAAGCUAGGGGAGCAAACGGG
rnacentral:rRNA from 1 species